rnacentral:rRNA from 1 species
AGGAUUAACGCUGGCGGCGCGCCUAACACAUGCAAGUCGAACGAGGUAGCAAUACCUAGUGGCAGACGGGUGAGUAGCGCGUGGUCAACCUACCGUUGAGUGGGGGAUAACUAGCCGAAAGGUUAGCUAAUACCGCAUACGUCUCCGAGGGGCAUCCCUUGGCGAUAAAAGGAGCAAUCCGCUCGAUGACGGGACCGCGUCCCAUUAGCUAGUUGGUGGGGUAACGGCCUACCAAGGCAUCGAUGGGUAGCUGGUUUGAGAGAGCGACCAGCCACACUGGGACUGAGAUACGGCCCAGACUCCUACGGGAGGCAGCAGUGAGGAAUUUUCCGCAAUGGGCGAAAAGCCUGACGGAGCGACGCCGCGUGUGGGAAGAAGGCCUUCGGGUCGUAAACCACUGUCGAAGGGGAAGAUAAUGACGGUACCCUUGGAGGAAGCCCCGGCUAACUACGCGCCAGCAGCCGC